rnacentral:lncRNA from 1 species
CAAUCUCACCCCCAACGUAGGUGGCUUCUUUGUGGACAAGUUCGUGGCCACCAUGUAUCACUACCUGCAGUUUGCCUACUACAAAUUGAACGAUGUGCACCAGGCUGCCCGCAGCGCUGCUAGCUACAUGCUCUUUGACCCCAAGGACAGUGUCAUGCAGCAGAACCUGGUAUAUUACCGCUUCCACCGGGCUCGCUGGGGCCUUGAAGAGGAGGACUUCCAGCCCCGGGAGGAAGCUGUGCUCUACCACAACCAGACCUCUGAACUUCGGGAGUUGCUAGACUUCACACACAUGUACCUUCAGUCAGAUGAUGAGAUGGAACUGGAGGAGACGGAAUCACUUCCGGAGCCUGAAAAACCUCUGUCUGAUGCCGAGUUCGAAGGCGAGGGCGACUAUGAGGAGGGCCUCUAUGCGGACUGGUGGCAGGAGCCGGAUGCCAAGGGUGAUGAGGAUGAGGCUGGUCAGUACUGGAUCGUGCUGAAGGGAUAGGAACACAGCUUGGGAUGGGCACUGGGGACAGGGUUUUCUCCCUGGGCUAUGCUGCCAGUGGUGUGCAGGUGGGUGCUGUCUCCCUGCUCUAGGGUGCAGCCGACACUUCUGCUAGGGCGGUGCUCAGACACCAGUUGGAAUAGGCAGGACUAACUCUUGUUCUCUCUUUCUUUUUCAGAGCCAGAGCCUGAACUGGCCUAAGACAGUGACAUGGUGCACUCUUCAAGCUCAGGACACCUGGCUGG